UACAGAGGAGCCAAGCGUUGUCCGGAUUGACUGGGCGUAAAGCGCACGCAGGCGGACGCGCGCGUGGGGUGUGAAAUCUGGCCGCUUAACGGCCAGGCGCCAUCCCAUACGGCGCGUCUGGAGUGAAGCAGAGGUCGGUGGAAUUGCCGGUGUAGUGGUGAAAUGCGUAGAGAUCGGCAGGAACACCCAGGGGGAAACCAGCCGACUGGGCAUCUACUGACGCUGAGGUGCGAGAGCGUGGGGAGCGAACAGG
rnacentral:rRNA from 1 species